rnacentral:tRNA from 1 species
GCGGGAGUGGCGGAACUUGGCAGACGCGAUAGGUUUAGGUCCUAUUGUCCGAAAGGACGUGGGGGUUCAAAUCCCCUCUCCCGUACCA